rnacentral:rRNA from 1 species
CACGCAGGCGGUCAGGCAAGUUGGUGGUGAAAGCCCUCGGCUCAACCGAGGAAUUGCCCCCAAAACUGCUUGACUUGAGUCCCGGAGAGGGUGACGGGAUUCCCAGUGUAGCGGUGAAAUGCGUAGAUACUGGGAGGAACACCAGUGGCGAAGGCGGUCACCUGGACGGGUACUGACGCUCAUGUGCGAAAGCGUGGGGAGCAAACAGGAUUAGAUACCCUGGUAGUCC